UACGUAGGGGGCAAGCGUUGUCCGGAUUUAUUGGGCGUAAAGAGCGUGUAGGCGGUCAGGUAGGUCCGUUGUGAAAACUCGAGGCUCAACCUCGAGACGCCGAUGGAAACCAUCUGGCUAGAGUCCGGAAGAGGAGAGUGGAAUUCCUGGUGUAGCGGUGAAAUGCGCAGAUAUCAGGAAGAACACCAAUGGCGAAGGCAGCUCUCUGGGACGGUACUGACGCUGAGACGCGAAAGCGUGGGGAGCGAACAGG
rnacentral:rRNA from 1 species